rnacentral:rRNA from 1 species
UACGUAGGGUGCAAGCGUUGUCCGGAAUUAUUGGGCGUAAAGAGCUCGUAGGCGGUUUGUCGCGUCUGCUGUGAAAACGCGAGGCUCAACCUCGCGCCUGCAGUGGGUACGGGCAGACUAGAGUGUGGUAGGGGAGAUUGGAAUUCCUGGUGUAGCGGUGGAAUGCGCAGAUAUCAGGAGGAACACCAAUGGCGAAGGCAGAUCUCUGGGCCGUAACUGACGCUGGAGGAGCGAAAGCAUGGGGAGCGAAACAGG